GGGCCCGUAGCUCAGCCUGGUAGAGCGGCGGGCUUUUAACCCGUAGGUCCCGGGUUCAAAUCCCGGCGGGCCCG
rnacentral:tRNA from 4 species